rnacentral:rRNA from 1 species
AUUGAACGCUGGCGGCAGGCCUAACACGUGCAAGUCGAGCGGUAGCACAGGGAGCUUGCUCCUGGGUGACGAGCGGCGGACGGGUGAGUAAUGUCUGGGAAACUGCCUGAUGGAGGGGGAUAACUACUGGAAACGGUAGCUAAUACCGCAUAACGUCGCAAGACCAAAGAGGGGGACCUUCGGGCCUCUUGCCAUCAGAUGUGCCCAGAUGGGAUUAGCUAGUAGGUGGGGUAACGGCUCACCUAGGCGACGAUCCCUAGCUGGUCUGAGAGGAUGACCAGCCACACUGGAACUGAGACACGGUCCAGACUCCCACGGGAGGCAGCAGUGGGGAAUAUUGCACAAUGGGCGCAAGCCUGAUGCAGCCAUGCCGCGUGUAUGAAGAAGGCCUUCGGGUUGUAAAGUACUUUCAGCGGGGAGGAAGGUGCUGAGGUUAAUAACCUCAGCAAUUGACGUUACCCGCAGAAGAAGCACCGGCUAACUCUGUGCCAGCAGCCGCCGUAA